rnacentral:rRNA from 1 species
GUUUGAUCCUGGCUCAGGAUGAACGCUGGCGGCGUGCCUAACACAUGCAAGUCGAGCGAUUCUCUUCGGAGAAGAGCGGCGGACGGGUGAGUAACGCGUGGGUAACCUGCCCUGUACACACGGAUAACAUACCGAAAGGUAUGCUAAUACGGGAUAACAUAUUUUGAUGGCAUCAUCGAAAUAUCAAAGCUCCGGCGGUACAGGAUGGACCCGCGUCUGAUUAGCUAGUUGGUGAGGUAAUGGCUCACCAAGGCGACGAUCAGUAGCCGACCUGAGAGGGUGAUCGGCCACAUUGGAACUGAGACACGGUCCAAACUCCUACGGGAGGCAGCAGUGGGGAAUAUUGCACAAUGGGCGAAAGCCUGAUGCAGCAACGCCGCGUGAGCGAUGAAGGCCUUCGGGUCGUAAAGCUCUGUCCUCAAGGAAGAUAAUGACGGUACUUGAGGAGGAAGCCCCGGCUAACUACGUGCCAGCAGCCGCGGUAAUACGUAGGGGGCUAGCGUUAUCCGGAAUUACUGGGCGUAAAGGGUGCGUAGGUGGUUUUUUAAGUCAGAAGUGAAAGGCUACGGCUCAACCGUAGUAAGCUUUUGAAACUGAGAAACUUGAGUGCAGGAGAGGAGAGUAGAAUUCCUAGUGUAGCGGUGAAAUGCGUAGAUAUUAGGAGGAAUACCAGUUGCGAAGGCGGCUCUCUGGACUGUAACUGACACUGAGGCACGAAAGCGUGGGGAGCAAACAGGAUUAGAUACCCUGGUGGUCCACGCCGUAAACGAUGAGUACUAGGUGUCGGAGGUUACCCCCCUCGGUGCCGCAGCUAACGCAUUAAGUACUCCGCCUGGGAAGUACGCUCGCAAGAGUGAAACUCAAAGGAAUUGACGG